rnacentral:rRNA from 1 species
CACGGGGGGAGCAAGCGUUGUUCGGAAUCACUGGGCGUAAAGGGCGUGUAGGCGGUUUGGUAAGUGGAAUGUGAAAUCCCUCGGCUUACCCGAGGACCUGCAUCCCAUACUGCCAAGCUUGAGUACGGGAGAGGAUGAGGGAAUUCCUGGUGUAGCGGUGAAAUGCGUAGAUAUCAGGAGGAACACCAAUGGCGAAGGCAGCUCGCUGGGACGGUACUGACGCUGAGACGCGAAAGCGUGGGGAGCAAACGGG